AGUUCGGAUCGGAGUCUGCAACCCGACUCCGUGAAGCUGGACUCGCUAGUAAUCGCGCAUCAGCCAUGGCGCGGUGAAUACGUUCCCGGGCCUUGUACACACCGCCCGUCAAGCCAUGGAAGCCGGGGGUGCCUGAAGUGUGCAACCGCAAGGAGCGCCCUAAGGUAAAAACCGGUGACUGGGGCUAAGUCGUAACAAGGUAUC
rnacentral:rRNA from 1 species